rnacentral:tRNA from 1 species
GGUCUUAUAUUCAAUUAAUGAUUUUAGAAUGCAAUUCUAUAGGAGUGAAUAGAUAUUGAAAUUUCACUAAGGCUU